AGCAGCCGCGGUAAUUCCAGCUCCAAUAGCGUAUAUUAAAGUUGUUGCAGUUAAAAAGCUCGUAGUUGAAUUUCGGGAUCAGUUGAUCGGUCGUGCCUCGGUACGUACUGGUCAAAUUGAUUCCUACCUUCUGACGAACCACGAUGUCAUUAAUUUGGUGUCGUGGGAAAUCAGGACUGUUACUUUGAAAAAUUAGAGUGUUUAAAGCAGGCUCGCGCUUGAAUACAUUAGCAUGGAAUAAUGAAAUAGGACGUUUGAUUCUAUUUUGUUGGUUUCUAGGAUCGACGUAAUGAUUAAUAGGGAUAGUUGGGGGCAUUAGUAUUCAAUUGUCAGAGGUGAAAUUCUUGGAUUUAUUGAAGACUAACUACUGCGAAAGCAUUUGCCAAGGAUGUUUUCAUUAAUCUAAGAACGAAAGUUAGGGGAUCGAAGACGAUCAGAUACCGUCGUAGUCUUAACCAUAAACUAUGCCGACUAGGGAUCGGAUGAUGUUAAUUUUUAAUGUACUCAUUCGGC
rnacentral:rRNA from 1 species